rnacentral:rRNA from 1 species
GACGGAGGGAGCAAGCGUUGUUCGGAUUUACUGGGCGUAAAGGGCGUCUAGGCGGACCAGCCAGUCAGGUGUGAAAUCCCCCGGCUCAACCGGGGAUCUGCACUUGAUACUGCUGGUCUUGAGUACGGAAGAGGAAGGCGGAAUUCCUGGUGUAGCGGUGAAAUGCGUAGAUAUCAGGAAGAACACCGGUGGCGAAGGCGGCCUUCUGGUCCGAUACUGACGCUAAAGCGCGAAAGUGUGGGGAGCAAACAGG